UAAGAGGAGGCCUUGGAAUCUAGAACCUGGAUUUGAUAAAACACAUGUAUUGGAUAUCAAGAUUGCAUUAGGCAGUUUGGAUCUAGCUAUGGGCUAUCACGUAUUUUAUUUUUACUUUUGGCUCUAUAAUAAUAACUUUGUAAUAAAACUUGGGGAAUAUAGUAGUAAAGGGUAUUGGAGGGGUUUUUAGUCGUUUGCAUGUUAAAGGGUAGAAAUCAUGCCUAUAGGACUUUUACUACUUUAAAUCACCUAGAAAUCAUGCCUAUAGGGUUUAAUACUUUGAAUCACCUAGAUAUCAUGCAUAUAGGUUUUUACUACUUUGAAUCACUUAGAUAUCAUGUCCAUAGGCUUGCAUUCUUCUUCGUUCAAGCGUAUAGAAAUCAUGCCUAUAGGAUUGUAAAAAAUAAAAAUAAAAAAUAAAAAAGGCAAAUAAUGGAGUAACACAACUCUCGCCUGCCUGAAAUGUUUAAAAUGGCAUAAAAAUUGAAAUAGAUAUCCUUCCUAUAGGAUCUCAAGUUUGCUCAAGUUCUGAGCAUGUAAUCUGACAAUCAUCUCAAUGUUUCUCAACAGAUUCGUCCAAACCUGUCUGCGACUUCUAAACUCGUGUUUCUGUCUCUGAAAUCGCUUUUCUAAUUCUCUGAACUUUUAUUCAUAAAGUUAUUUUUAAAUAGCCUUCAAACUCUCGCCUCUUUUAUGAACACUUUACUUCUAAAACUUUGUUGUACUUUUCUUUAAACACUUUCAGCGACUUUUCAAAACUUGUCUGAACUUCUGCAGAUUUCUGCUUCUUUCAAAACUUGUCUAGGUUAGUCCUUAACUAAUGAUCCGGUAAAUACUCCAGAUCCUAACAAUUGGAUCCAAGUUUCCAGAUAUAGACCUUUUAUCUAAUUCUAUGUGUUAAAUUGAUCCGUCCGCCGCUUAAUUUUAAUUUAAUACCAAACCAGUAUGCAAGACACGCUAAACUAUAUGUUGUCUGUUUAAAGGGGUUUCUUUGAACCUUGGUUUGUCUUCUUGUUAUUUCCCCUACUUGGUAUCUAUUUGUUUGAAUGACGAGACUUUUAUCCAUUGAAACUCCAUGCAAAGCCCCCAACCCUUUUUUCCCUUUUAGGAGUAGAAGUCCUAAUACCCCAGUACUAAUAGGUUGGGGUGGGUACUAGUAUGCAAUAAGUAAAACGAGACUAAUCUCGUUUAAAUAUCUUAAUGGGGUGGGAAGGGUAGAAUAUGGAUAUGAUGACAGUUGCAUUAAUAUCUCAUGUGAGAAUGAUUGCUGGGUAUUGCACCAAAGUGAUCCAUAUUAUGUUUAACCUUAGGACCCCUUUCUUCUUUUAUGUUCUAUCUUAGAUUAAUGUUUUCAACCAAAAAUUCUCUUUUCAAAACAACAUGUGUCUUUCUUCUUUCAAAAUUUUCAACUUGCCAUGUUUCCUAUAUGCAAACUUUGCUUGUUCACGCCUACUCUUAAAGUCACAAUUAAGCGCGGCCGAAAACCACAUAGUGGAUCUUGAGGGGUGCCUAACACCUUUCCCUCGAGAUAAUCUCAAGCCCUUACGCGAACUCUGAUUUUCUUUAAAAAUCUUCUUCUCUUCUUUUGAAGUGUCCUAAUUCACUAUUAUCAUUAGAUGGCGACUCUCCAAAACCCAUAUCCCAAAUUUCCCGAAAGGGGAUAAAAGAGUCAUUCCACCCAUAAUAUCGAAACCCGCUUUUUGCGCUUAGAAAAAUGGGAGCGUUAACAGCAUGGUGACUCUGCUGGGGAUUUCUUUAAGGAUUUUACCAUUACGUGCUUUGUGACUUUAUUGCUUCCUUGAUUGCAUUUACUUUCAGUCUUUAAUUAUUUCAUCAAGAAUACUAACUUGGCUCUUCAUAUUUUUCUUUCCUUUUAAUUUCUGCUUUUACUGCUUUAUCAUUUCAAUUCUGUUGUAAUUUCCAAACAUUUAUUGUAAUCUUUAUUUUAUGAACGUGAAAAUACAUGCAAUUUGCUUCAUUACUGUAACUGUAUUUCUAAACAUCAUAUUCCACUAGUGCCAAAACAAUCCUAUAGCAACGCUUAUAAGGAGUGGUUGCACCCUUCCGAUAUUAUAACCCCUAAGUGUGGCAAAGGCAUAUUUGCGGUAAAACCAGUCGAUCAACGGUGUAGUCCACGGUUCCGCGGCUUUCCCUCUUGAGUAUUCCGCUCAAGGGUACCUUGUCUAGCACUUCAAAAAAAUAGAAACCUUAUUCCAUUAAAUUGAUCAUUCAUCAUGGUCAACCCUAGCCGAGUCAGUUAUGUUGUCGACAUAAUGACUCCUUAAGAUAGCCUAAACCGAAGUCCAUCGGGUUUCCUCUAAACCCAAACGGACACCUCCAUGUUAUGUGCAUUUAUUUGGAGAACUAAAUGCCUUUUACUAAUUAUUGAUUUAAAUAGUCGAGUUUGGUGGGGUUAAGGGCCUAACACUUUGCAGAAAAUGAGAAUCGAAGUCCCCAGAUUCGGUAUGGUAUCCAACAUUCACCCGAGGUCGCUAAGCUGGUGGGAAGAUCUUCAUGCCAUCGAUCAAACCCUCAUCGGCAAGUACUUAGGGAAUUUUCCCUCACUUCUGGAAAUCCAACCUAACAACAAAAUCAUAGAGGCCGCCACUUUGUUC
rnacentral:lncRNA from 1 species